rnacentral:rRNA from 1 species
GACGAGGGGUCCUAGCGUUGUUCGGAAUCACUGGGCGUAAAGCGUUUGUAGGCGGCUCUAUAAGUCGGGUGUGAAAUCCCACGGCUCAACCGUGGAAGUGCAUUCGAAACUGCAGAGCUUGAAUAUGGAAGAGGAGAGUAGAAUUCCUGGUGUAGUGGUGAAAUACGUAGAUAUCAGGAGGAAUACCGGUGGCGAAGGCGGCUCUCUGGUCCAAUAUUGACGCUGAGAAACGAAAGUGCGGGGAUCAAACAGG